UACGAAGGUGGCUAGCGUUGUUCGGAUUUACUGGGCGUAAAGGGAGCGUAGGCGGUUUUUCAAGUCAGGCGUGAAAGCCCGAGGCUUAACCUCGGAAUUGCGCUUGAAACUGAUUGACUGGAGUAUGGGAGAGGAUAGCGGAAUUCCUAGUGUAGAGGUGAAAUUCGUAGAUAUUAGGAAGAACACCGGUGGCGAAGGCGGCUAUCUGGACCAUUACUGACGCUGAAGCUCGAAAGCAUGGGGAUCAAACAGG
rnacentral:rRNA from 1 species